rnacentral:misc_RNA from 1 species
CUGGAAUUCGAUUUGUGAAUCCAACGAUCUCCAGAGUCUACACCAACAGUGAUAAUUCGUAGAUGAAAAUGACGAUAAAAAAUUAUAGCCGAGAAGUUGCUUCAUUUCUAUUAGUAUUGUCGUUGUUUGUAAUGCAGCCAAAGUAGCCUAUGCAUCGAAUUCUGCUGCGGCCUUUGUACAGAACGUCAUCCAUUCCCAAAAGAUUGUCAUCUUCUCCAAAUCCUACUGCCCGUAUUGCAUGCGUGCCAAGCGCAU